AGAGUUUGAUCCUGGCUCAGGACGAACGCUGGCGGCGCGCUUAACACAUGCAAGUCGAGCGAUAACCAUGGCUUCGGCCAUGGGGAGAGCGGCGAACGGGUGAGUAACACGUGAGUGAUCUGCCCUCGACACUGGGAUAGCCCGGGGAAACCCGGAUUAAUACCGGAUAGCCUUUCGAGCCCACGGGCUCGUCAGAAAAGAUGGCUUCGGCAUUCGGUCGAGGAGGAGCUUGCGGCGGAUUAGCUUGUUGGUGAGGUAACGGCUCACCAAGGCGACGAUCGGUAGCUGGUCUGAGAGGAUGAUCAGCCACACUGGGACUGAGACACGGCCCAGACUCCUACGGGAGGCAGCAGUGGGGAAUUUUGGACAAUGGGGGCAACCCUGAUCCAGCCAUGCCGCGUGAGUGAAGAAGGCCUUCGGGUUGUAAAGCUCUUUCGGUGGGAACGAAACGGUUACGACUAAUACUUGUGACUACUGACGGUACCUACAGAAGAAGCACCGGCUAACUACGUGCCAGCCGCCGCGGUAAUAC
rnacentral:rRNA from 1 species